rnacentral:rRNA from 1 species
GACGAACGCUGGCGGCGUGCUUAACACAUGCAAGUCGAACGGAAAGGCCCUGCUUUUGUGGGGUGCUCGAGUGGCGAACGGGUGAGUAACACGUGAGUAACCUGCCCUUGACUUUGGGAUAACUUCAGGAAACUGGGGCUAAUACCGGAUAGGAGCUCCUGCUGCAUGGUGGGGGUUGGAAAGUUUCGGCGGUUGGGGAUGGACUCGCGGCUUAUCAGCUUGUUGGUGGGGUAGUGGCUUACCAAGGCUUUGACGGGUAGCCGGCCUGAGAGGGUGACCGGCCACAUUGGGACUGAGAUACGGCCCAGACUCCUACGGGAGGCAGCAGUGGGGAAUAUUGCACAAUGGGCGGAGGCCUGAUGCAGCAACGCCGCGUGCGGGAUGACGGCCUUCGGGUUGUAAACCGCUUUCGCCUGGGACGAAGCGUGAGUGACGGUAAUGGGUAAAGAAGCACCGGCUAACUACG